GAAGAGGAGCAGGAUGGAACGGACGCCCGCUGUAAUCGUGGGCGGAACCGGAGGGACGGAUGCAACGCUUGGCGCUUCCGAUUCUGACAGUGGCUGACCUCACGGGAGAUGGAUGGGGAAGGGUCCAGAUGUUUCGAUGAGGAAACGGAGGCCACUAAGUGUUGUGUAACGUCCCAAGGGGACCCAGCUCUGAAGCGGUGGAGUCAGAAUGGGUUGCUUAACAGCCACCCCCACCCUCGGCUCGGAAGACGUCCACACCCAGGUAUGAAAAUGCCCUGUGGGAGUGUCUGUUGCUGCUCAGCGGGUUAAGAACCCAACAUAGCGUCCAUCCAAGGGAUGCGGGUUUGAUCCCUGGCCUCGCUCGGCGAGUUAAGGAUCUGGUGUUGCCACAGGCUGUGGUGUAGGUCACAGGUGCAGUUCGGAGCCUGUGUUGCGGUGGCUGUGGUGUAGACUGGCAGCUGCAGCACUGAUUCGACCCCUAGCUCGGGAACUUCCAUGUGCUGCGGGGGCAGCCCUGAAAAGAAAAUAAAAAAGAAAGAAAGCAAAUGCCCUGUGGAAUGACCACAUGAUAGUGACACAGUCUCGUGGCCUUUCUCUUGGGAACAGGCACACCUUCUUCCAAGCCACCUAAGUUCCUGCCUCUUGACUUUCUAGACACCCUUCACUGUUUAAAGGGGGGAGAACAAUAAGAAGACAAAGCAAAUGCUCCUUUUUUGGGUCCUUUUUAAAACAUUUAUUGACAUAGAGCUGAUAUAUCAGCUUGUGAUCAUCUCUGCGAUACAACAAACUCACGAGCUCCUGUUAUUUGUAGACUUUUUGAUGAUGGCCAUUCUGACUGGUGCAAGGUGGUCCCUCAGUGUAACUUUGAUUCGCAUUUCUCUAAUAAUAAGCGAUGGGGAGCAUCCUUUCAUAUGCUUGUUCUUUGGAGAAACGUCUGUUCAGGUCUUCUGCCCAUCUUUUGAUUGGGUUGUUUGGCUUUUUUGAUAUCAAGCUUCACGGGUUGUUUGUGCCUUUUGGAGAUUAGUCCCUUGUGUGUCACUUCAUUUGCAAAUGUUUUCAGCCAUUUCGUGAGUGGCCUUUUUGUUUCGUUUGAUUUCCUUGGCUGUGCAAAUGUGUUUAAGUUUAUGUAGGUCCCAUGUGUUUCUGUUUUUAUUUUCAUUACUCUAAGCAGUGGAUCCAAAAAGAAAUUGCUGCAGAUUAUGUCAAAGAAUGUUCUGCCUCUGUUCUCCUCCAGGAGUUUAAUCAUAUCUGGUCUUACAUUUAGGUCUUUAAUCCAUUUUGAGUUUAUUUUCCUGUAUGAUAUUAGAGAAAGCUGGGAGUUCCUGUCGGGGUUCAGUGGAACUGAAUCCGACUAGGAACCGUGAGGUUGCAGAUUCGAUCCCUGGCCUUGCUCAGUGGGUUAAGGAUCUGGUGUGGCCGUGAGCUGUGGUGUAGGUUGCAGACACGGCUUAGAUCUAGCGUUGCUGUGACUCUGGCAUAGGAGGGCAGCUAUACCUCCAAUUAGACCCAUAGCCUGGGAACCUCCAUGUGCUGCGGUGCGGUCCUAAAAAGACGGAAAGACAGAGAAUGCUAUCAUUUCAUUCUUUUGCAUGGAGCUGUCCAGUUUUCCCAGCACCACUUAUUGAAGAGCCUGUCUUUUCUCCAUUGUAUAUUCUUGCCUCCUUUGUCAUAAAUUAAUUGUCUGUAGGUGUGCGGGUUUAUCCUGUUCCAUUAAUCCACAUUUCUGGUUUGCGUCAGUGCCAUACUGUUUUGAUGACUCUAGUUUUGUGAUAUAAUCUGAUGUCAGGGAGCCUGAUCCCCCCGGUUCUGUUUCUUUUUCAGGAUGGCUUUGGCUGUUUGGGCUCUUAUGUGUUUCCAUAUAAAUUUAAAAAUAUUUUGUUCUAGUUCUGUUAAAAAAUGUCAAGGCAAUCUACAGUCUCAAUUCAUUAGUUUCUUAGAUCCGAGGCACAGGUCCAUAAAUGCCUAACAACAGAGACAGACCAGCAAAAUGUUCAUGCAGUUUAGAUUCUGAGAACUUGACUUGUGUUUUUAUUCUAGGUUUUGAUUCAUAUUUUUUCAAAAAAUCAGAGUUUAGAAUUUGUGACAAGUUGGCAGAGUUCUGUUGUGGCUCAGUGUGUUACGAAUCUGACUAGUAUCCCUGAGGACACAGGUUCAAUCCCUGGCCUUGCUCAGUGGGUCAAGGAUCCUGCAUUGCCAUGAGCUGUGGUGUAGGUCACAGAUGCUGCCCGGAUCUGGCGUUGCUGUGGUUAGUAUAGGCUGGCAGCUGCAGCUCUGAUUCAGCCUAGGAACGUCCAUGUGCUGAGGGUGCAGCCCUAGGGGAAAAAAAAAAGAAUUUGGGACAAGUUGGGAUGGGUCAUGAAGGAAAAGACCCCACAGUCUAUAUCUAGCACACAGCAGGGUUUCCAUGCAGAAGACAGCGUUGUCAGCACAGAGAUUCAGUUUAAAAAUGGAGGUUUUGAGAAACUCUCUCUCUGCUCACUCAGGAGUGUUAUCCUGAGACAGAUCCCAAAGAUGAAAAAAAAGCAGCUCAUUCUGAGCAACAAAGGCCACGUGAAAAUGAAAACGAGUUCCCUGGUGGCUCAGCUGGUUAAGAACCCAGUGUUGUCACUGCUGUGGCUCGAGUUCGAUCCCUGGCCCAGGAACUUCUGCAUGCCAUAGGUGUGGCCAAAAGGAAAAAAAAAGAAAAUAAAAACCCCCACAGGUCAGAGGUUGCCCACCACGGGGACAACCACGCGAUGGAGUUAAGAGCACAAUGAAUAGUGUCUUUUGCGUUAAUCAUGCUCCUCGCUAAAGCCCAAGGGUAACUUGCCAUUUUUGACAAAUCCGUCGUUAUGUAAUUUUCCACGGAUGGGUAACCUUGUCCAGUUGCCACUGUUUAUCAGGUUCUGAGUCCUGCAAAACACUGGGAUUCCAUGAGCAAACACGUUUAACCGGCCCUAUUAAAGCUGUGGCCACCCAGUCUGGUCCAGCCUAAGUGUUUGGUCAACAUCCUGUGUGCAGGGAGAGCUGUCUGGCUCAGCAGGUUUUUUCAACUCCCUCCCAUCAGGGGUGACACGCAUACUGUUUCCCGGGGAGGAUGGAAGGUUCUGAUGAUUGAUCUGCAAAAAGAAUGCCCCUCGCCUGCCAGGACGGGGGUUCGUAGCAGGUCCCAGCAGAGCCAAAGAAAACCAAAGUCUGUACCUGUGUAGAGGGUUUUUUAGAACCAGGACCUUGGCUGUGUUGACUAUGGAGGCAUCACAGAGGAUGCCCAAAGAGCCCCUCCCAAGUGCACGGACCUUACAGGAGUUCCGUGAGGACCAAAUAGUCUUCUCUAGAAGGAUUAAGAAGACUGUUGAGAAAAUUGAAAAUUUAGAAGACUAUUGAGAUCAAUUUGUGGGAGUUCCCCUUGUGGCCCGGCAGGUUAAGAACCUGACGAGUCUCUAUGAGGAUGCAGGUUCGAUCCCUGGCCUCGCUCUGUGGGUGAAGGAUCCGGUGUUGCCGUGGGCUGUGGUGUAGGUCACAGACACAGCUCAGAUCCCACGUGGCUGUGGCUGUGGUGUCGCCUGGCAGCUGUAGUUCCAAUUCAACCUCUAGCCUGGGAACUUCCAUAUGCUAAAAAAAAAAAAAAAAAAAAAAAAAAAG
rnacentral:lncRNA from 9 species